rnacentral:misc_RNA from 1 species
CAUAAACAUUUAUCCAAGCGAUUGGGAUUUGAGAUUCGCCUUCUCGGGACGGCGUCUUUCCAAAUGUAUUACGGAGCUGGCUGCUUGCUGCAUGCUGCUCGAGUGAGGAUGUUUGCAUCCGUGCAAAAUAUUCAUGAGAGAGAGUGUCUAAGCGAGGAGCGAACAACGCCCGAGGGAUUGGAGUGGGGGACUAGUAGCGUUAGUGGAAGCUAAUGUGACGGUCUUCUUCACAGACAAUCAAUACGCACAA